GAUGAACGCUAGCUACAGGCUUAACACAUGCAAGUCGAGGGGAAACGAUAUUGGAAGCUUGCUUCCGAUAGGCGUCGACCGGCGCACGGGUGAGUAACGCGUAUCCAACCUGCCCACCACUUGGGGAUAACCUUGCGAAAGUAAGACUAAUACCCAAUGAUAUCUCUAGAAGACAUCUGAAGGAGAUUAAAGAUUCAUCGGUGAUGGAUGGGGAUGCGUCUGAUUAGCUUGUUGGCGGGGUAACGGCCCACCAAGGCGACGAUCAGUAGGGGUUCUGAGAGGAAGGUCCACCACAUUGGAGCUGAGACACGGUCCAAACUCCUACGGGAGGCAGCAGUGAGGAAUAUUGGUCAAUGGGCGAGAGCCUGAACCAGCCAAGUAGCGUGCAGGAUGACGGCCCUAUGGGUUGUAAACUGCUUUUAUAAGGGAAUAAAGUGAGUCUCGUGAGACUUUUCGCAUGUACCUUAUGAAUAAGGACCGGCUAAUUCCGUGCCAGCCGCCGCCGUAA
rnacentral:rRNA from 1 species